CUCAGAAUAUCCAGGAAGGGACUUCUGGAAACCAUCCAGUGCAGCCAGGAUCACCUGGAGCAGCAAAUACAACUGCUGUUCGUGACAAACACAUGAUUUACAAAAUGAAGAAUAAAGAAUUGUGUCAGCUAGAGAGAGAGAGGGAGAAGGAAGAUGAAACAAGCACAGGAAUACACAGGAGGGAAACAGAAGCAGCAAGAACAUUGUGUUCAUCAGCCACAGACACAAAUUAGCUUGGGAAAGAGAUCUGGAAAUUGUAUUAACUACUGCUAUGAAAGCAUCAGAUUUCAGAAGCCAGAGUGAAGGACUUGCCAUGAAGGGGACUCUGGAAAACUGUCCCAGAAGUAAGAGAUGCUCCCUUUCCUCCUCAGAGCUCUGUAGUUCUGCUGGAUUUCAGCACAAGGGUAGGAGUGGGGCUGCUUUCUAAAAACUAAUUUUCAAACAACUGGAAAAUAAUAAAAUCACAGAAUCACAGAAUGGUUUGGGUUGGAAGAGACUUAAAGGUCAUCUCAUUCCAUGGGCUGGAACCCCUUCCACCAGAUAAAAACAAGAAAUUAGGAAAUACACCACGAGUACUUUUCAUAAAAAUAAAACCCACCUAAAAGCUCACCUAUAAAACCUCAACAAACCCCCCUUGACAAUUGCUGUCUUCUGGAUUAAUGGCCUGGAUUUAACAAUUUUCCUUUCUGAUUCACAAUGGCAACAUUUUCCCUGCCCACCUUGCUCUGAGGUUGGUGUCAGUGCUUUGUGCUGAUCUGGAGUGGCAGUGUGAUAUAAAUGCAGUGGGAAUGUUUGAGAAAACCCUGAAAACCCCAAAAUUCUCCCUAGCUGGGGUAGAACCACGGUGAGAACCAUUUCCUGCUGUGCAGAAAGAACCCAGGUCUCACUCCUGGAAACAACUCCCUGCUGCCAAUUGGAGUCAGGGGAUGUUUCCCUCAAAAGGAAGAUUUUACUUUUAUCUGGCUGGGAUGCAAAUCACAGGGAAGCUUCUUGUCACUGGUGUGGGAUCAGUGUCACCUCUGCUCUGUAUUUCCCCCAUUUCCUGCAAAAUGGGGCUGAGAGUCUCCCCAGCAAAACCAGAGUCUCUCACAGCGUUGCUGGGCAUCAGGAAACACAAAUAUUUGCUGGGCUGCAAGAGGAGUCAAAAGGAAAAUGAAAGUGUUUUGUGGCAGAGAGGAAUGGAGACAAUGUUUGCAGUGCUCUGUGCACACAUUUGUAAUAACAAAAGGAAGUUUGGAGCUGUCCUGGGCAGUUAUGCAACCAACAUGCAGAUUUAAAGAUGUAUUCAAGCUUCACUUUGCUGUACUUCCUUCUCAAAGGUUUUUUAAAAGAAAAUGGCAUAAAAAGACACUUUUAGUGUGCAGACAGCAGUCACAGCAAAGCUGAUGCAGCAUUCCCACCUGCACUUUGAUUCAGUGGGAUCUGCUGCUCCAGGUUAAACACACAAAUGCUCUGAGCCUCACCCUCACAGCAGCUCCUGCCUCCUCUGGAGCCCUGCUCAGCUCAGGAAUUCCCUCUCAAAUAAAAGAGGGGACAGCUUUGCCCCUUGGCACAUCCAGCUGCUUCACUCCUGUGCUUUUGGGUAAAAACCCCAGUGGAAGGGGCAGCAGUGAGUUCAUUUUGGAAGCUGGAAAGGACUUUGAGCUCGGAAGCCCCUCCUGGAGUGGCAGGACAAAGGGAAUGGCUUCCCACUGCCAGAGGGCAGGGAUGGGGAUGUGGGGAAGGAAUUGUUCCCUCUGAGGGUGGGCAGGGCCUGGCACACUGCCCAGGGAGUGUGGGUGCUCCUGGAUCCCUGGAAUUGUGUGUUCCUUGUGUCCCAGAGCAAGACCUGCUCAUAAAAUUCCUCUGAACUUCCCUAAGAAAGAAAGGAAGGAAAGAGGGAAAAGUGGGAACUGAAUUGUGGCCAUGGGGAAGAACAGACAGGGCAAGAGGGCACUGGUGGAAGUGAGGGAAUGGAGAUUCCUUUAAAUCAGUUCUGACAUGUGAGCCUUGGAGGGCUGAAAGUGAAAAUCAUGGGUUACUCAAGGGAGUGACAGGAUGAGAGGACAAAAGUUUCAGCUGUGCCAGGGGAGGUUUAGCUGGACAUGAGGAGGAAUUUCUUCA